UACGUAGGGGGCAAGCGUUGUCCGGAAUCAUUGGGCGUAAAGCGCGCGCAGGCGGUUUCUUAAGUCUGAUGUGAAAGCCCACGGCUCAACCGUGGAGGGUCAUUGGAAACUGGGGAACUUGAGUGCAGAAGAGAAAAGCGGAAUUCCACGUGUAGCGGUGAAAUGCGUAGAGAUGUGGAGGAACACCAGUGGCGAAGGCGGCUUUUUGGUCUGUAACUGACGCUGAGGCGCGAAAGCGUGGGAGCAACAGG
rnacentral:rRNA from 1 species